AUGACCAGGGAUAACCAGAGGAAAAGAAACAUUAUCAAGCCCUUAGAUUGUGUGUUCUGUACUGAAAAUGAGACAAAUUACCAUUUGUUCUUUGAUUGUACAAUAGCUAGAAAUGUGUGGUCCUUUGUUAGCCAUCACUUCCAGAUCCACGUAGGCACAAACUUUGAGUCUGUUGCUCCGUUCUGGGUCUCUAAUAAGAAAAACUCUGCUCUGAAUACUAUUAGCUUUGCUGUCCUAGGGUGUUUGUGGAAAUAUAGGAAGUCUAUGGUUUUUAACAACACCAUUUGGACCUCUAUUACCCAGGUGUGGAGUCUGAUCCUCAGAAUGCUCAAAUUCUGGGUGAUGCUGACUCCGAAUACUGGCAAGCCCGGGAUGGAGGCACUCUUGAGUGCUCUGACAAAACUUCUCCAACACCCCCUGAUGAUCUUGAGUGCUGAAGCUGAAGGCCACAAGAUAUGA
rnacentral:rRNA from 1 species